CGGAUCUCUUGGUUCUGGCAUCGAUGAAGAACGCAGCAAAAUGCGAUAAGUAAUGUGAAUUGCAGAAUUCAGUGAAUCAUCGAAUCUUUGAACGCACAUUGCGCCCGCCAGUAUUCUGGCGGGCAUGCCUGUUCGAGCGUCAUUUCAACCCUCAAGC
rnacentral:rRNA from 2 species